UGCAGACAGUCACCCUUCACGUUCCACACUGAGCCAACCCUUUACAUAUAACUAUUUAUCUUUAAUUUACUCCCCAUUCUGACAGAAUACAAACUGAAUCCCAUAUCUACUCCUAGUGUUCAGACCCAGCUUGCAUAAGGUAACUAGAUUUCCACCUGUUUAGUAGAAAUACCCCAAAUGAAAACUUGCUUGUGUUAGAAGGGAU